UGCAGUCGAGCGGCAGCGCGGGGCAACCUGGCGGCGAGCGGCGAACGGGUGAGUAACACAUCGGAACGUACCCAAUCGUGGGGGAUAACACAUCGAAAGAUGUGCUAAUACCGCAUAAGUCCUGAGGGAGAAAGCGGGGGAUCAGCAAUGACCUCGCGCGGAUGGAGCGGCCGAUGUCGGAUUAGCUAGUUGGUGGGGUAAAGGCCUACCAAGGCGACGAUCCGUAGCGGGUCUGAGAGGACGGCCCGCCACACUGGAACUGAGACACGGUCCAGACUCCUACGGGAGGCAGCAGUGGGGAAUUUUGGACAAUGGGCGCAAGCCUGAUCCAGCCAUUCCGCGUGAGUGAAGAAGGCCUUCGGGUUGUAAAGCUCUUUCGGCAGGAACGAAACGGUGUCCCCUAAUACGGGGCGCUAAUGACGGUACCUGAAGAAGAAGCACCGGCUAACUACGUGCCAGCAGCCGCGGUAAUACGUAGGGUGCGAGCGUUAAUCGGAAUUACUGGGCGUAAAGCGUGCGCAGGCGGUUAUGUAAGACAGGUGUGAAAUCCCCGGGCUUAACCUGGGAACUGCGCUUGUGACUGCAUAACUCGAGUGUGGCAGAGGGGGGUGGAAUUCCACGUGUAGCAGUGAAAUGCGUAGAGAUGUGGAGGAACACCGAUGGCGA
rnacentral:rRNA from 1 species